rnacentral:rRNA from 1 species
ACGCUCGACACCUACGGGAGCAGCAGUGGGGAAUAUUGCACAAUGGGGGAAACCCUGAUGCAGCGACGCCGCGUGAGCGAAGAAGUAUCUCGGUAUGUAAAGCUCUAUCAGCAGGGAAGAAGAUGACGGUACCUGACUAAGAAGCACCGGCUAAAUACGUGCCAGCAGCCGGACGGUAAUCUGGAGGCGGGCGUGGACGAAGGC